AAUCAGUGCAUCAAACACUUUCACAACAACUCCUUAAAUCGCUCCCAUGCUUCAUAUAAAUUUUCACCUUCUAGUUGCUUGAAGGAGGUAAAGUCAUUCCUCAGCUU